rnacentral:rRNA from 1 species
CGGUAAUACGUAGGGUGCAAGCGUUAAUCGGAAUUACUGGGCGUAAAGCGUGCGCAGGCGGUUUUGUAAGUCUGUCGUGAAAGCCCCGGGCUCAACCUGGGAAUUGCGAUGGAGACUGCAAGGCUUGAAUCUGGCAGAGGGGGGUAGAAUUCCACGUGUAGCAGUGAAAUGCGUAGAGAUGUGGAGGAACACCGAUGGCGAAGGCAGCCCCCUGGGUCAAGAUUGACGCUCAUGCACGAAAGCGUGGGGAGCAAACAGGAUUAGAUACCCUGGUAGUCCACGCCCUAAACGAUGUCUACUAGUUGUCGGGUUUUAAUUAACUUGGUAACGCAGCUAACGCGUGAAGUAGACCGCCUGGGGAGUACGGUCGCAAGAUUAAA